rnacentral:rRNA from 1 species
UACGUAGGGUGCGAGCGUUUGUCCGGAAUUAUUGGGCGUAAAGGGCUCGUAGGCGGUCUGUCGCGUCGGGAGUGAAAACUCAGGGCUUAACCCUGAGCCUGCUUCCGAUACGGGCAGACUAGAGGUAUGCAGGGGAGAACGGAAUUCCUGGUGUAGCGGUGGAAUGCGCAGAUAUCAGGAGGAACACCGGUGGCGAAGGCGGUUCUCUGGGCAUUACCUGACGCUGAGGAGCGAAAGCGUGGGGAGCGAACAGG